rnacentral:rRNA from 1 species
CAGCCGCCGCGGUAAUACGGAGGGUGCGAGCGUUAAUCGGAAUCACUGGGCGUAAAGGGCGCGUAGGCGGUUAGGUAAGUCGGAUGUGAAAGCCCUGGGCUUAACCUGGGAAUGGCAUUCGAGACUGUCUAUCUAGAGUCUGGUAGAGGGAAGUGGAAUUUCCGGUGUAGCGGUGAAAUGUGUAGAUAUCGGAAGGAACACCAGUGGCGAAGGCGACUUCCUGGACCAAGACUGACGCUGAGGCGCGAAAGCGUGGGGAUCAAACAGGAUUAGAUACCCUGGUAGUCCACGCCCUAAACGAUGAGAACUGGCCGUUGGGGGAGUUAAAUCCCUGAGUGGCUCAGCUAACGCGAUAAGUUCUCCGCCUGGGGAGUACGGCCGCAAGGCUAAAACUCAAAGGAAUUGACGG